GGCGGACGGGUGAGUAAUGCUUGGGAAUAUGCCUUAUGGUGGGGGACAACAGUUGGAAACGACUGCUAAUACCGCAUGAUGUCUACGGACCAAAGUGGGGGACCUUCGGGCCUCACGCCAUAAGAUUAGCCCAAGUGGGAUUAGCUAGUUGGUGAGGUAAUGGCUCACCAAGGCGACGAUCCCUAGCUGGUUUGAGAGGAUGAUCAGCCACACUGGGACUGAGACACGGCCCAGACUCCUACGGGAGGCAGCAGUGGGGAAUAUUGCACAAUGGGCGCAAGCCUGAUGCAGCCAUGCCGCGUGUGUGAAGAAGGCCUUCGGGUUGUAAAGCACUUUCAGUAAGGAGGAAAGGUUAAGUGUUAAUAGCAAUUAGCUGUGACGUUACUUACAGAAGAAGCACCGGCUAACUCCGUGCCAGCAGCCGCGGUAAUACGGAGGGUGCGAGCGUUAAUCGGAAUUACUGGGCGUAAAGCGUAC
rnacentral:rRNA from 1 species